rnacentral:misc_RNA from 1 species
AUCACUAAAAAGGAUUGCAUCAUUACAGCAUACCGGGAUCACUGCACGUUCGUUGGCCGCGGUGGGACACUUCUCGAGGUCUUUUCGGAGCUCAUGGGACGCCAAGCGGGUUGUUCGAACGGGAAGGGUGGGUCAAUGCAUUUCUACAGGAAGGAUGCAGGGUUUUAUGGAGGACACGGGAUCGUUGGAGCUCAGGUUCCACUAGGAUGUGGAUUGGCUUUCGCUCAAAAGUAUUCUAAGGGCGAGACUGUUACGUUUGCUUUGUACGGAGAUGGUGCGGCUAAUCAGGGACAGUUGUUCGAGGCGCUUAA